rnacentral:rRNA from 1 species
CCUACGGGAGGCAGCAGUGAGGAAUAUUGGUCAAUGGACGAGAGUCUGAACCAGCCAAGUAGCGUGAAGGAUGACUGCCCUAUGGGUUGUAAACUUCUUUUAUAUGGGAAUAAAAUGUUCCACGUGUGGGAUUUUGUAUGUACCAUAUGAAUAAGGAUCGGCUAACUCCGUGCCAGCAGCCGCGGUAAUACGGAGGAUCCGAGUGUUAUCCGGAUUGAUUGGGUUUAAAGGGAGCGUAGGUGGAUUGUUAAGUCAGUUGUGAAAGUUUGCGGCUCAACCGUAAAAUUGCAGUUGAAACUGGCAGUCUUGAGUACAGUAGAGGUGGGCGGAAUUCGUGGUGUAGCGGUGAAAUGCUUAGAUAUCACGAAGAACUCCGAUUGCGAAGGCAGCUCACUGGACUGCAACUGACACUGAGGCUCGAAAGUGUGGGUAUCAAACAGGAUUAGAUACCCGGGUAGUC